rnacentral:lncRNA from 1 species
CAGAGAUUUUUGAUGUCAUCAAUUGUGUCCUUUGUGCCUAUAUCCGAUGUAAGGGUCAUGAACUUUAGGCUCUGUAAUAACAGAGAAGAAUGCCGGGUGAAGAAAAGGGCUUCUAUUGGCUAGCCUGGGCGAACCCACCCUUUCCCAGCGAGAGAAAUUGCUGACAAGUGAGCUUUCCAAAGUGUCAGGAAUCCUGUAAAAUGGAUAACGACAUUAAUAGAAAUUGAAGGAAAGACAACCAGUAACAAGAUUGCUGGAUCCCAGGAACUUUAUGCCGUUGAUGCUUUGAUAUAUACAUUAUUCAAUAAAAUACAUGAAUAAUAUGAAUUAAUUUUUUGGAGCAUUGCAUGAGAUGUGUAAACUUUAUAAAACCACCCUGAAGGAGCAGAACCUUGUGAUGAAGACAUUACUCCUAAAGAGGCAGUUGCUGUGAUUGUUCAAGAGGCAGGAGCUGCAGCAUCUUCAGAAGAAGGAGCCUGAUGCCUCAUGUUGCUCCACAGAUGUUGCUUCUUGGGAUGGAGGCUUCAGGAUGUGGGCUUGAAAUAGAAUUAGUCAACUGGGAACUGGGAAGGAGGAAUGCUACAAUAUCUACACUGUGGCUAGCCUGUACAAUGUAUGAAAGGUCUCAAUGGCCUAGAUAA